UCCGCAACCAUGUUGGAUUGUGUGUAUUUUGAGCGCUAUUUAAUCUAUCAAAAUCAACAUUAUUGUUGGAAAAGUGGUAUUAUUUCAAAAGAGAAUUUAAGUAAGGUGUUUUUUUAGUUUAGAUUUAAAAUUACUCUGUGAUCUAACAAUUUUCAUCGUGUCUGGAAGAGAAUUCCAAUCUCGAAUGGAGGAGAAGUAAAAUGUUGAGACGGCAAUGCAUUUGACAGGAGGAACAACGAAAUUUAACUGGCUCCCUCUUCUAUUAUGGUUAUGAAGGCUUGAGUUGCGGACAAAUCUAUGGGAAAGGUAAGACCUGAACCAUUCGACAGAAUCAAACCCCAUAAGUUUGAGUUUUUCACAAAGAAUUUAAUGGUCGACUGUGUCAAAGGCUUCGUGAGAAGAAAGACGCGGAAGUUGGGUUUUUGGGGGGGUCUCUAUUCAAAUAAGCAAAGUCCUAUCCUUUAACACGGGUCUGAAAAGUGACGUCUUCAUACUGUAUCUCAAAUCAAUUUGCAAAAAAAACUUUGCGAGGUCCAAAAGUCACGGAACGUAGCCCACCUACAAAGCUCACCUAGGCUUCGUACAACUAUCAGGAUCACAAAUGAGGACAUUUACAAAUAAGUAACUUUAAUCAGUUUUAUUUCGUCUGUCUAUGAGCCCUGCAUGUACUGAUGACCUAGCCCAAUCCCGUACAGUUGUUGUUUGCCUGCCUCUACUUGUUCCCUCUCAUUUUAUUGGUUCAUAACACAUAAAUGCGCGCAGCCUUACAGGCAUCAUACUUCUAUAUUUGGAUAUAUUAUCAAAAGGUACAAGUAUGAAAUGUGCCAGCACUUCUAUAUUAUGACAACGUUUUUGGGAUAAAUGCUAUUAUUAUUGUUAUUAUUAUUAUUUUUUUUAUUUAGGCCUAAAAAAA